UACAGAGGUCUCAAGCGUUGUUCGGAUUCAUUGGGCGUAAAGGGUGUGUAGGUGGCGCCGUAAGUCAGGUGUGAAAUCUCGGGGCUUAACUCCGAAACUGCAUUUGAUACUGCGGUGCUUGAGGACUGGAGAGGAGACUGGAAUUUAUGGUGUAGCAGUGAAAUGCGUAGAUAUCAUAAGGAAGACCAGUGGCGAAGGCGGGUCUCUGGACAGUUCCUGACACUGAGACACGAAGGCCAGGGGAGCAAACGGG
rnacentral:rRNA from 3 species